AGUGAACGCUGGCGGUAGGCCUAACACAUGCAAGUCGAACGGCAGCACAGUAAGAGCUUGCUCUUACGGGUGGCGAGUGGCGGACGGGUGAGGAAUAAAUCGGAAUCUACUUUUUCGUGGGGGACAACGUAGGGAAACUUACGCUAAUACCGCAUACUACCUACGGGUGAAAGCAGGGGAUCUUCGGACCUUGCGCGAUCGAUUGAGCCGAUGUCAGAUUAGCUAGUUGGCGGGGUAAAGGCCCACCAAGGCGACGAUCCGUAGCUGGUCUGAGAGGAUGAUCAGGCACACUGGAACUGAGACACGGUCCAGACCACUACGGGAGGCAGCAGCGGGGAAUAUUGGACAAUGGUCGCAAGCCUGAUCCAGCCAUACCGCGUGGGUGAGGAAGGCGUUCGGGUUGUAAAGCCCUUUUAUUGGGAAAGAAAAGCAGCAGGUUAAUACCCCGCUGUUCUGACGGUACCCAAAGAAUAAGCUCCGGCUAACUUCGUG
rnacentral:rRNA from 1 species